CACUUUUAUUUUCUUCUUUAUCUUUAUCCUCAUCCUCCGACUCAUCGCUUUCUAUGGAUAUGGUAAUUGAUUUGAAUGCAGUGGUUCCCUUCUUUUUUGAUUCUUCUUCUUCCUCAUUUUGUACUACAAGAAAAUAAGAAUUUAGUGACCGAAAAAUUGAUUGCUCAAAAAUAAAAAUUGAUCGCUAAUAAUAUUUACGAUCAAUUUUAUGAUCGAAUAUUUUCAAUCACAAAAACCCUAGU
rnacentral:lncRNA from 1 species